CGUUCCCGGGCCUUGUACACACCGCCCGUCACACCACGAAAAGCGAGCAACACCCGAAGCCGGUGGCCUAACCGCAAGGAGGGAGCCGUCGAAAGGGUGGGGGCCCGUGAUUGGGGUG
rnacentral:rRNA from 1 species